UACGUAGGGUGCAAGCGUUAAUCGGAAUUACUGGGCGUAAAGCGUGCGCAGGCGGUUUGCUAAGCCAGAUGUGAAAUCCCCGGGCUUAACCUGGGAACUGCAUUUGUGACUGGCGGGCUAGAGUAUGGCAGAGGGGGGUAGAAUUCCACGUGUAGCAGUGAAAUGCGUAGAGAUGUGGAGGAAUACCGAUGGCGAAGGCAGCCCCCUGGGCCAAUACUGACGCUCAUGCACGAAAGCGUGGGGAGCAAACAGG
rnacentral:rRNA from 1 species